rnacentral:rRNA from 1 species
CGGGGGGGGGGCUAAUACAUGCAAGUCGAGCGGACAGAAGGGAGCUUGCUCCCGGAUGUUAGCGGCGGACGGGUGAGUAACACGUGGGUAACCUGCCUGUAAGACUGGGAUAACUCCGGGAAACCGGAGCUAAUACCGGAUAGUUCCUUGAACCGCAUGGUUCAAGGAUGAAAGACGGUUUCGGCUGUCACUUACAGAUGGACCCGCGGCGCAUUAGCUAGUUGGUGAGGUAACGGCUCACCAAGGCGACGAUGCGUAGCCGACCUGAGAGGGUGAUCGGCCACACUGGGACUGAGACACGGCCCAGACUCCUACGGGAGGCAGCAGUAGGGAAUCUUCCGCAAUGGACGAAAGUCUGACGGAGCAACGCCGCGUGAGUGAUGAAGGUUUUCGGAUCGUAAAGCUCUGUUGUUAGGGAAGAACAAGUGCAAGAGUAACUGCUUGCACCUUGACGGUACCUAACCAGAAAGCCACGGCUAACUACGUGCCAGCAGCCGCGGUAAUACGUAGGUGGCAAGCGUUGUCCGGAAUUAUUGGGCGUAAAGGGCUCGCAGGCGGUUUCUUAAGUCUGAUGUGAAAGCCCCCGGCUCAACCGGGGAGGGUCAUUGGAAACUGGGAAACUUGAGUGCAGAAGAGGAGAGUGGAAUUCCACGUGUAGCGGUGAAAUGCGUAGAGAUGUGGAGGAACACCAGUGGCGAAUGCGACUCUCUGGUCUGUAACUGACGCUGA